UUCGUGUUUUCGCGCGUAAUUGGUUUGCGUGUACCGACCAACUCGCUAUUUCCAACCAUCGUACUCGUUAGUUUAUUACUAGUCGUUUUAUUCUCGCGGCGCGAAACUUGCGUCCGUGUUCAGAGUUCGAGCAGAGACUCUCGCGCUCGUUAAACGAAACUCGGUCGAUUUCGAAGUCAACGAUGGAAACAUUGGCCCGUUCCGAUGAGACAGACACGCGUUCGAGAGAGUAUUCGGUCGUCGAGACUCGUGUCCAUCGGCAGCAAGAGGAGGACUGCUUCCAAGUAAUAAUCUCG
rnacentral:misc_RNA from 1 species